rnacentral:rRNA from 1 species
CCUACGGGGGGCUGCAGUGGGGAAUAUUGGGCAAUGGGCGCAAGCCUGACCCAGCAACGCCGCGUGAAGGAAGAAGGCUUUCGGGUUGUAAACUUCUUUUAAGAGGGAGGAGCAGAAGACGGUACCCUGACAACAAGCCACGGCUAACUACGUGCCAGCAGCCGCGGUAAUACGUAGGUGGCAAGCGUUGUCCGGAUUUACUGGGUGUAAAGGGCGUGUAGCCGGGAAGGCAAGUCAGAUGUGAAAUCUGGAGGCUCAACCUCCAAAUUGCAUUUGAAACUGUUUUUCUUGAGUACUGGAGAGGCAGACGGAAUGCCUUGUGUAGCGGUGAAAUGCGUAGAUAUUAGGAGGAACACCGGUGGCGAAGGCGGCCUGCUGGACUGUGACUGACGUUGAGGCCCGAAGGCGUGGGGAGCAAACAGGAUUAGAUACCCCUGUAGUC